UGAGGAACAUGACCUUCGGCGGGGGAUAGCCGGCCCAACGGCCGGGUAAUACCGCGUACGACCACAUGGGGACAUCCCUGAGUGGUGAAAGCAGCAAUGCGCCGAUGGAGUGCCUCGCGGCCUAUCAGCUAGUUGGUGAGGUAACGGCUCACCAAGGCGACGACGGGUANCUGGUCUGAGAGGAUGGCCAGCCACAUUGGGACUGAGACACCGGCCCAGACCUUCGUAACCGGGGAGG
rnacentral:rRNA from 1 species